AGAGUUUGAUCAUGGCUCAGAACGAACGCUGGCGGCAGGCUUAACACAUGCAAGUCGAGCGCUGUAGCAAUACAGAGCGGCGCACGGGUGAGUAACACGUGGGAACGUGCCCUAUGGUUCGGAAUAACUCAGGGAAACUUGAGCUAAUACCGGAUAAGCCCUUACGGGGAAAGAUUUAUCGCCAUUGGAGCGGCCCGCGUCCGAUUAGCUAGUUGGUGAGGUAAAAGCUCACCAAGGCGACGAUCGGUAGCUGGUCUGAGAGGACGACCAGCCACACUGGGACUGAGACACGGCCCAGACUCCUACGGGAGGCAGCAGUGGGGAAUCUUGGACAAUGGGGGAAACCCUGAUCCAGCCAUGCCGCGUGAGUGAUGAAGGCCCUAGGGUUGUAAAACUCUUUCGGCGGGGACGAUAAUGACGGUACCCGCAGAAGAAGCUCCGGCUAACUUCGUGCCAGCAGCCGCGGUAAUACGAAGGGGGCUAGCGUUGUUCGGAAUUACUGGGCGUAAAGCGCGCGCAGGCGGUCCUUCAAGUCAGAGGUGAAAGCCCAGAGCUCAACUCUGGAACGGCCUUUGAGACUAGAGGACUUGGGUACGGGAGAGGUGAGUGGAAUUCCGAGUGUAGAGGUGAAAUUCGUAGAUAUUCGGAAGAACACCAGUGGCGAAGGCGGCUCACUGGCCCGUUACCGACGCUCAGGCGCGACAGCGUGGGGAGCAAACAGGAUUAGAUACCCUAGUAGUCC
rnacentral:rRNA from 1 species